rnacentral:rRNA from 1 species
ACACGACUACAUUAGAUACCCGUGUAGUCGUAGCCGUAAACGAUACUCGCUAGGUGUCGGCCACGGUGCGACCGUUGUCGGUGCCGUAGGGAAGCCGUGAAGCGAGCCACCUGGGAAGUACGGUCGCAAGGCUGAAACUUAAAGGAAUUGGCGGGGAGCACCACAAGAGGUGGAGGCUGCGGUUCAAUUGGACUCAACGCCGGAAACUCAUCGGGAGCGACAGCAGUAUGAUUGCCAGGUUGAUGACCUUGCUUGACAAGCUG